rnacentral:tRNA from 1 species
GGCUUGGUGGUCUAGUGGCAACCGCUUCUGAUUCAUAUGCAGAAAGGCCUGGGUUCAAUCCCUGGCCAAUCCC